AAGCGCUCAUGACCAGACUUGGGCAGGUUGAUCAUCCGUCGUUCUCGGCGGUGCACUCUGCCUGCCCAGGCCAGCAUCAGUUCGCGCCGGGGGAUAAAGGCUUCGGGAAUGUGGCUCCCUCGGGAGUGUUAUAGCCCGCUGCGCAAUACCCUGGGGCGGACUGAGGUUCGCGCAUUUAUGCAAGGAUGCUGGCGUAAUGGUCAUCA
rnacentral:rRNA from 1 species